GACGAACGCUGGCGGCGUGCUUAACACAUGCAAGUCGAACGGAAAGGCCCUGCUUUUGUGGGGUGCUCGAGUGGCGAACGGGUGAGUAACACGUGAGUAACCUGCCCUUGACUUUGGGAUAACUUCAGGAAACUGGGGCUAAUACCGGAUAGGAGCUCCUGCUGCAUGGUGGGGGUUGGAAAGUUUCGGCGGUUGGGGGUGGACUCGCGGCUUAUCAGCUUGUUGGUGGGGUAGUGGCUUACCAAGGCUUUGACGGGUAGCCGGCCUGAGAGGGUGACCGGCCACACUGGGACGGGAAUACGGCCCAGACUCCUACGGGAGGCAGCGGUGGGGAAUGUUGCACAAUGGGCGGAAGCCUGAUGCAGCAACGCCGCGUGCGGGAUGACGGCCUUCGGGUUGUAAACCGCUUUCGCCUGUGACGAAGCGUGAGUGACGGUAAUGGGUAAAGAAGCACCGGCUAACUACGUG
rnacentral:rRNA from 1 species